rnacentral:rRNA from 1 species
AUUGAACGCUGGCGGCAUGCCUUACACAUGCAAGUCGAACGGUAGCGGGCCUUCGGGUGCCGACGAGUGGCGAACGGGUGAGUAAUGUAUCGGAACGUACCUUUCAGUGGGGGAUAACGUAGCGAAAGUUGCGCUAAUAUCGCAUAUUCUGUGAGCAGGAAAGCAGGGGAUCGCAAGACCUUGCGCUGAUUGAGCGGCCGAUAUCAGAUUAGCUAGUUGGUGAGGUAAAGGCUCACCAAGGCGACGAUCUGUAGCGGGUCUGAGAGGAUGAUCCGCCACACUGGAACUGAGACACGGUCCAGACUCCUACGGGAGGCAGCAGUGGAGAAUUUUGGACAAUGGGGGCAACCCUGAUCCAGCCAUGCCGCGUGAGUGAAGAAGGCCUUCGGGUUGUAAAGCUCUUUCGGCCGGGAAGAAAUCGUAUCAGCUAAUACCUGGUGCGGAUGACGGUACCGGCAUAAGAAGCACCGGCUAACUACGUGCCAGCCGCCGCUGUAACAC